CCCCGCCCGCCGGGCGCGCCGGCCGCUCGGUACCUUCAUGAAGGUCUCCACCGCGCCUUUGGCCGUGUCCAGGGGAAAAAAUGCUACAAAGAGAGUAUUACUAAAAAGAAAUUAGAGCUCUCCAACAAAGAUUAUUUCACAAUAACAGUUGAAGCCUCAGAUGAUUCAAGAUCAGUCUUGAAAGUGGUUGCCUCCAAGUUGAGAAUUGGAAUCACAGUGGAACAGUUUCUCCAGCUAAAGAUCACGAACGCUGCAGUAAUCCUUUCGCCACCCUGAGUAGUUAAUACUACAGGAAGAGGAAUCACGUGGAAAGGAGACAUCGGGGAGGCUCCAAGUGUCCCAAACCGGGAUUGAAGAGCUGCAGUUCAAAGAUCAGGCUAAGCAAACUCCCGCGGCAGCAAGCCACCCACCAGGAGUUCCAGCUACAGAAGUUUGCCAUGUUUUUCCCCAGGAAGGGCCUGGAAGCUGCUGCGACACCCUAUUCCUCUUACCCAUCUGUAACCCUCACUCGAGAAAAGGGCAAAGUUUAAGUAAAAAUCUCUGGCACGACAGAGAUGUUGUGUGUGUGUGAAAUGAAAAUGUAUAUACUCAAACCGUGGGUCAACUAUGGUUUAAAGUACGUCCUGACUUCCUGCCGUUCUUUUCUGAGGUACGGAAAUAUUUCAAGGCAAUUUCAAGAAACCGGAUUUCAAGAAACUACUAAAACCUUUUUUGUAGAGGUAUUCCUCCUCAUGCACAUCCUCGGGACAGCAGUCGUUUUAAAACGGAGUUAAAAGUCCACACUUCAGCCUUGAAAUGUGCUCGAGUCGUGCGGCGACCUUGGAGACGUAGCUCCAACCGUGCAAAGUCUCAGAAAGUGGACCUAGCCUAGCUUAGAAAAUACAAAACCCCCGAAUUCUUUUUUAUUCUACUAAAUACUCUCACCUGUUACAGUCUCCUUGAGCAAGUGCUGGCACUGGUAAAAGGGCAACGAGCAUUUGCCUAAUGGUCCGAAGUGUGAUAGCCAAAAAUAAACAUAAGGGGGAAAAAAAUCAUGACUUUCCGAUGCAUGACUUUGAGAUUUGGUCCGGGCUGAAUUUGAGUUUACCUUUGCACUAUUAAAAAAAAAAAAAAAGUUUGCCAGGCAAGCGGGUAAACGGUAAAGUUUAUCUUACCUAAUGUCAAACUAUCCAAGAUCAUUGCGGCUUGAAAUUAUUCAUUGGUGAGCAUCGAGAGCAGUGCAAACAUGGGUAAAAAAACACCUGAUUUUCAUACCCUGUGGGUUGUGCUGGUCUAAUUUUAAAGUCAAAAGCUUUGAAAAGUCACAAACUUAUAAAAACUUAUGAAACUUUUAGAAAAGGCGCGAUUAGAUGGAGAGAUGAGAGAGAGAAUGCAUGUGCCUAUGUAUCUUGAUAACUGAAUUCAGCUGACGGUUC